CGGCUGUGGAGGGGAAGGUGGCGGUUCCCCCUGAGGAGGGUGUUUGUCUUUAAAGCUGACGCUCCCCGCCCCCUCCCCGCAGGGAAGGCUGAGGGCGCUGCCGGCGCUGGAGUCCUUGUUGGGGUCCCCGCCCCGGAGCCUCUCUCAGCGGAGGGGUGGCCUUUUCCUCAUUUCCAGGUCCUCCUGACUGUGAGUGUGAGGGGAGCUGACUAACAGGCUGUGGGGACGCCUUUGAAGGCGCAUUCUGUGACUCCUCAACAUAGUGUCACCUGAGAAAACAAUCCAGACCCUGAUCAGGACCAGGACCAAAUGGCUGCUUCUCAGAAGUAUGGCACAUGAUUUGGAAACAUUGGCAUCACAAGUAAAAAGUGAGCUUGUGACAUGUGUGGAAACACAGGCCCCAUCUCAGAACCUGGAUCAGAAUCUGUGUCUUUAUAGAAGUUCAUUUUGUUGUGGUUUGCUUCAACUUGAGAAGUCCGUAAACUCCAACCCAUCAUUGCAUUUCCAUCUGAGAAAUAUACCCCACUGGCCCUGAAUGAUGCAAAGGCAGCACUCAGACAUCCAUAUGCUUGUAUCCACACCUUAAUUUAAUUAAUUUAUUUUAUAAUAUAUUUUUAUUGAUUUCAGAGAGGAAAGGGGGAGAGAGAGAGAGAGAGAGAGAGAGAACAUUGGUGAGAGAGAAUUCAUGAUCGGCUGCCUCCAAUACACCCCCUACUUGGCAUUGAGCCUGCAACCCCGGCUUGUGCCCUUGACAGGAAUUGAACCUGCGACUCUUCAGUCUGCAGGCCCACCCUCUAUCCACUGAGCCCACAGAGUCAAACUGACUAUGGCCAUGACUUA